GAGUUUGAUCAUGGCUCAGAUUCCAACGCUGGCGGCAGGCCUAACACAUGCAAGUCGAGCGGUUGAAGGUAGCUUGCUACCUGAUGCAGCGGCGAACGGGUGAGUAAUGCAUGGGAAUCUGCCUGGUAGUGGGGGACAACGUCUCGAAAGGGACGCUAAUACCGCAUACGCCCUACGGGGGAAAGGGGGGGAUCUUCGGACCUCUCGCUAUCAGAUGAGCCCAUGUCGGAUUAGCUAGUUGGUGGGGUAAAGGCCUACCAAGGCGACGAUCCGUAACUGGUCUGAGAGGAUGAUCAGUCACACUGGAACUGAGACACGGUCCAGACUCCUACGGGAGGCAGCAGUGGGGAAUAUUGGACAAUGGGCGCAAGCCUGAUCCAGCCAUGCCGCGUGUGUGAAGAAGGCCUUCGGGUUGUAAAGCACUUUCAGUGGGGAGAAAAGUGAUUCACCUAAUACGUGAGUCAAUUGAUGUUACCCACAGAAGAAGCACCGGCUAACUCCGUGCCAGCAGCCGCGGUAAUACGGAGGGUGCAAGCGUUAAUCGGAAUUACUGGGCGUAAAGCGCACGUAGUGGUUUGUUAAGCUAGCUGUGAAAUCCCCGGGCUCAACCUGGGCACUGCAGUUUAGAACUGGCA
rnacentral:rRNA from 1 species